UGUUUGUUCAGCUUGAUUAUUACGUUUGUGGUACAUCGUUAAGGGACAUCUUUAUAAAAUACAGGCACUUUCAAAUUACGAUAUAAACAAAGUUAACAUGCUACAAAUAAGCAUUACACUACUACCAAGUUGUAGAAUUUACCCCCAUUGGCCGCACAAGUUUUAGUGACAUUUUAUAUUAUAUAGAUUAAUGUAAAAAUUACGCCUUGUGCUACAGAACUAAUCAAUAGUAUUUAUAAAACAAUACUAUUAACAUGGAAACUAUAAUUUUGUUGAAAUAACGCCACAAUUCCUUAAGUCCCAGAAGUAAAAACUUACAUCGGCUGUCAAUCAGAACCACCAUGUGUUUAUUUUGUUGUUUUUUUGACAAUUGACAGGUUUGUGAUCAGUGAAAUGUGACUCAAAUAUUCGAAACAGUUGACAUAAAUAAUAUGUAUAAGUUUUUUGUCUUCAAAAAGUUCUAUAAAUACAAAAACGGCAAGGUGUCGAACUUACCCGCAGUGUCGAACCAACCCCGACUGCCCUUAUGUGUUCACAUUCAGCCAUUGCGCUCAGUUUGGUUUUCUCGUAGCAUCAUGUUGGUAUCGGUGUCUCGCUCGCACUAAUGUAGCGAGUGUUCCUCUGUGCGCUCCCUUUCUUGCCACCACACGAAAUCGUCAGUUCAGCUUAAGCGUUCGCCGUGAAAGGCCGCGCGCUUGUUAGCCUAAGCCGGACGAUUGAAGUUUUGAUAAAUGUUGGAGUGUUGUGCAUAUUGAAACGCUUAUCUUUUAUUUUCUAUUACAGGGUUUUCGAGGAUUAUAUAGACAUGUUCAGCGAGUUGUAGAUUCGUUCAGGCAUAUAAUAGACUCUUUCGGCGAGAUAAAGAAUUGUUCGGAAGUAGGCGUUGACAUGUUCAGCGAUUCUGUAGAGCUGUCAUUUGUUUUGUUUACACACUGUGCCGCAGGGUUCAAUUUUUCAUUCUUAAAAGUCCUAAAAGUAGCUAAUAAUCAUUCUCCAAGCUGUUUAAUACAUAAAUUAGUUGAAAAAAGCAUAUUUUUUCGAAAACCGUUUGUUUACCUUCUGAUGAGAAUGAUCCAACUUGCAGUCCAUGGGGUACGAAAGUGACAGCUCUACAGUAUAACCGAACAUGUCUACACCGACUUCCGAACAAUUCUAUAUCUCGCUGAAAGAGUCUAUUAUAUGCCUGAACGAAUCUACAACUCGAUAAACAUGUCUAUAUAAUCCUCGAAAACCCUGUAUUAAACGCUUUCUAUUAUUUUGAUUUCCGCUGCUUUAUUUCAUUUUUUUUGUUUUGAUUCGUGCGUUCCAAGGCUGAGUAAAGCGAAGCAAACAGUGCACUACGAAAGAAACUUGCGGGAGGGGAUGUCAGUGCAGCGCAGCGCAACUCGUAAGAAUCAAAAGGGAGGGUGAACCAAUCCAGCGUAGUCCCUAUGGGACUGGGACAAAAGUACAGGCGGUCACCGAGAUACACGGUUAAUGGGGACCGAAAACGGCCGCAAAAUACCGCGUAUCAGGAAUUUCCGCAUUCGAUCAAAAGGGAAAUUAAUUAGCAUUUGACAAUGGAUGUGUCAAAUCAGCCUUCCGUCUUGCCGUCUUACCGUCUUCCCUCCCGCUCCAGCUGCUGGUACUUUGAUGAGCUGUCGUAGGCGCGGUAACAGCCUGAAGCGCAAAGCUUUGGGACCGCUCGAUGCCGUUCCUGCAACUACCGCUGCUAACCAGGCUGUCGUUCCCGUUGUGGACCCGGUUGUCGUUUCAGCUGAAGAAUCCGUCCCAUUCUCCGUAGUGGAGAAAUUGUUCACGGAAUUCGCGAUCGUCCGGUCUAAGCUGGAUCGAUUGGACGAAUCCGUCGAGGGGAUACGGGGGGAGCAAAAGAAGCAUCAUGCUGAAAUAUCAAGCAAAAUUUCGGCCAUCGCCAAGUCGGUGCACCUGGUCCGAAGUGCAGGUGGGGCAGAUCAAAAAAUCGUUCUGUGUUGGCCAAGAUGGCUAUGCUCCUCCUCUCCGAGGGCUUUACACUUACGCCCGUCACAACGGAGGAUGAGCUAAAUGCUUUAGAGCAGAAGCUGGGCGAUGCUGAGUGUAUGCGGGAUAGCUUAGCUUGGCUGCAGGCUAAGGUGUUCGACUCCGAGACACAAAAAACCCUAGACGAAGCAAGGAAUUUUUGCCUCGCUACAGCUGGAGCGGGAGCAAUGCAAAAGUUGCUAAAAAAUAUAUAGCAACAUUUUGCAGCUUUUUAAGAAGAUUGGGAGCACCAAUAAAGUUAUAAUAGCUCUCGGAUUUGCUCGAGAUUAUUUCGGGAAAAAAUUGCGGUACGCGUAUCAACUCGUGCCAAAAAAAAACCGAACCCUGUAGAGGAUGGUGACGGUGGGCACAAUUUAAAUAUAAUUUAGCUUAUAUUAAUUUAGUCUAGUUAAGUAUUGAUUAGAUAGCUAUAGGUGACCAAUUAAGCUUAGUAAGUUGAGGUUUGCAUAGCAUAGGUAAGCAUCGUUUAGCAUAAUUUGUUAUUAAAGCUGAAUUGAACAAUUAAAACACGUAAAAAACUUGUUUGAUUUCAUAACGAA